rnacentral:rRNA from 1 species
UUUAAUGAGAGUUUGAUCCUGGCUCAGGACGAACGCUGGCGGCGUGCCUAAUACAUGCAAGUAGAACGCUGAGGUUUGGUGUUUACACUAGACUGAUGAGUUGCGAACGGGUGAGUAACGCGUAGGUAACCUGCCUCAUAGCGGGGGAUAACUAUUGGAAACGAUAGCUAAUACCGCAUAAGAGUCAUUAACCCCGGUGAGUUAUUUAAAAGGAGCAAUCUCUUCACUGUGAGAUGGACAUGCGUUGU